GGUCACCAGGUCUUUCUUUCCUGGAGCCACAGGGUGGGUUCAAACCACCAACCUUUUGGUUAGCAGCCAAGUGCUUAGCCCUUGCACCAUCAGGGCUUAUUUGGGAAGUGAAGGAAAACACCAGUAAGGCAGCAGGGAAGUUGAAAAUGGCAUGGCACCAGGCUAAGUGUUUUCUCUCUGUCAUCUCCCUGUUACUCCUGUUUUACAGAAGAGGAAACUGAAGUUUAAGGAGGCGAAGUGGCUUCCCGAAGGUCUACAACUGAUUAAAUACAGAAAUUGUAUUCAAAGAGAUUUCUGCAUGCCACAUGGAAAUUCUUUGAUGCUGCCUUGGCAUUUGAGGAAAUAAGCAUCCAAAUGAAUAAAGAGCUGUUGCAAGUGACAGGGCAGAAUUCAGAUGGCAACAAGGAAGGACUGAGAAGCCAUUACAGAGUCAUAAACAUCCAUCUCCAAAGGGAAGAUCCAUCAGCUCUGCAUCAGCCACAGAGGGAAGAUUUACAGGAGAAUCAGUACACAAUGGAAGCAAGUCUGUUUUGUAAUGAGAAAUGACAAGAAGACUUUAUUAUGUGAAACCCACUGCAAAUAUAAUGGGGUUUCCCCAAACUUCCCCCAAGAAGGCCAUGUGAAGACACAGAAAAACACACAGGGAGGAAGGCCAUGUGACAACGGAGGCAGACCUUAAGUGUUGCAACUACAAGUCAAAGAACGCCAAUGAUUGCUAAGACAGAGGCGUGGAAUGGUCCUCCCUCAGAGCCUCCAGAAGGAACCAUCCCUGCUGACACCAAGAUUUCAGAUUUCUGGCCUCCAGAACUCUGAGAGAAUAAAUUUCUGUUGUUUUAAGUCACCCAGUUUGUGGUCCUUUAUUGCAGA